rnacentral:misc_RNA from 1 species
AACGCACAUUGCGCCCUCUGGUAUUCCGGGGGGCAUGCCUGUUCGAGCGUCAUUACAACCCUCAAGCUCUGCUUGGUAUUGGAUCUGAUCCCCAACGGAAUCGAUCUCAAAGACAUUGGCGGUGUCCAACGUAGCCUUGGAGCGUAGUAAUUCUUAAUACCCGCUUUUCAAGUUACUUGGCCACUUGCCUUGACCAGUCAUUUUAAUCGGUUGACCUCGGAUCAGGUAGGGAUACCCGCUGAACUUAA